AAUUAUAUAUUUCUGAUGCACUAUUCAAUUUUCAUAAAGGUAAGUCGUAUAUUUUUCAGUAAACAUCUAGCUUUAAGAGGAGCAACAACUGGCUCUGUCUCAGCGCUUCUAAGAGUACUCAGACAUAAGGGGCUCAAGGUUGAAGUGGUGCCUUUAAACUAACUUUGGAAUCUUGAAAAGAUGAUACCAGCAGUUGAAUUCUAUUUUAAGGAGCUUACAGCAGCAGCCUUCAACAGUCCUGAACCAGAAAGCUCCGGGAUCUAGGAUUCAUCUAUACUAGCUUCUAGCAGCAUCCUUCAACAGUUCUGCACCUUAGAAGCUCCGGGUUCUAGGAUUCAUCUAUACCAACAGUUGAGCAGGUCCCUUACAGCAAUCAGCUCCACGAUUUAAUAACGCUCCAAUAUAUUCCGUAAUAAGUUUUAAAUAAACAUUUCAAAUUUCA